rnacentral:tRNA from 1 species
GUGACUGAAGCCAAAGCGAUCGCGGCGCUAGUCUGUGACACUAGUCUUAGCGGGUUCGAGUCCCGUCAGUCACCCCA